UACGUAGGGUGCGAGCGUUGUCCGGAAUUACUGGGCGUAAAGAGUUCGUAGGCGGUUUGUCGCGUCGUUCGUGAAAACUUGGGGCUUAACUCCAAGCGUGCGGGCGAUACGGGCAGACUUGAGUACUACAGGGGAGACUGGAAUUCCUGGUGUAGCGGUGAAAUGCGCAGAUAUCAGGAGGAACACCGGUGGCGAAGGCGGCUCUCUAGUACGGUACUGACGCUGAGACGCGAAAGCGUGGGGAGCGAACAGG
rnacentral:rRNA from 1 species